AUUGAACGCUGGCGGAAUGCUUUACACAUGCAAGUCGAACGGCAGCAUAGGUGCUUGCACCUGAUGGCGAGUGGCGAACGGGCGAGUAAUACAUCGGAACGUGCCCAGUCGUGGGGGAUAACGUAGCGAAAGUUACGCUAAUACCGCAUACGAUCUAAGGAUGAAAGCGGGGGACCGUAAGGCCUCGCGCGAUUGGAGCGGCCGAUGGAAGAUUAGGUAGUUGGUGAGGUAAAGGCUCACCAAGCCGACGAUCUGUAGCGGGUCUGAGAGGACGACCAGCAACACUGGGACUGAGACACGGCCCAGACUCCUACGGGAGGCAGCAGUGGGGAAUUUUGGACAAUGGACGCAAGUCUGAUCCAGCCAUUCCGCGUGCAGGACGAAGGCCUUCGGGUUGUAAACUGCUUUUGUACGGAACGAAAAAGCUCUUACUAAUACUAGGAGUCCAUGACGGUACCGUAAGAAUAAGCACCGGCUAACUACGUGCCAGCCGCCGCCCGUAA
rnacentral:rRNA from 1 species